rnacentral:tRNA from 1 species
GCACAUUUACCCAAGAGGUUUAAGGGGACUGUUUGCUAAACGGUUAGUAGAUGUUAAAUCUAGCGCAGGUUCAAAUCCUGCAAUGUGCGCCA